rnacentral:tRNA from 1 species
GUCUUCGUGGUGUAGUGGUCAGCACGUUGGAUGCGUAACCCCGAGGUCCGUGGUUCGAUUCCCAGCGAAGGCG